UCCUAUCUAACUGGGAGUCUCCUGAGUGGAAGCAUAUAAAGUUCUUCAAAGCUCUUCCUCUCCAAAUCUCAGGUGGAGCAACAACAAUAGGAGCACCUUGGGUUUAUCUCCAUCUCCAUAUCACUGCAGAUUAAACAGGCUGAAUUAGACUGAGCUCAGUCCAUCCGUGGUGAGAGAAGAUGGGGAGAAUAUGGAAUUGGUCCAACGAGUGUGGGCUUCACAGCGGAUUUUGGGUGGGCCCCACGAUGCUGCUCUGUGUCUAUGGCUUCAGCUCAAUAAUGAGGCUCUCUGAGCCUAUCCUCACAGGCUACCUCAAUGGGUCAUACAAGAACCUUACCACCCAACAGGUUCCAGAUAGCCUGAGGCUUCAGCAGGGAACGCUAUGUCCUGGUGUUUGGUGUCAACAGCUUUGCUGUUUCUCAUCAGAGAAGUGUAUAAUCUUAUUCUUUGCAGCCGAUUGGUGGAGCGCAUCCCAGCUGAGUGUUUAUCAAAGAGAAGAACUGAC
ensembl:lncRNA